UACGGGGGGGGGCAAGCGUUGUUCGGAAUUACUGGGCGUAAAGGGCUCGUAGGCGGCCAACUAAGUCAGACGUGAAAUCCCUCGGCUUAACCGGGGAACUGCGUCUGAUACUGGAUGGCUAGAGGAUUGGGAGAGGGAUGUGGAAUUCCAGGUGUAGCGGUGAAAAUGCGUAGAUAUCAGGAGGAACACCGGUGGCGAAAGGCGCUCAUCUGGCCCAAUACUGACGUGAGGCGCGAAAGCGUGGGGAGCAAACAGGG
rnacentral:rRNA from 1 species